UACGGAGGAUCCAAGCGUUAUCCGGAUUUAUUGGGUUUAAAGGGUGCGUAGGCGGAAUUGUAAGUCAGUGGUGAAAGCCCAUCGCUCAACGGUGGAACGGCCAUUGAUACUGCCAGACUUGAAUUAUUAGGAAGUAACUAGAAUAUGUAGUGUAGCGGUGAAAUGCUUAGAGAUUACAUGGAAUACCAAUUGCGAAGGCAGGUUACUACUAAUGGAUUGACGCUGAUGGACGAAAGCGUGGGUAGCGAACAGG
rnacentral:rRNA from 1 species